AUUGAACGCUGGCGGCAGGCCUAACACAUGCAAGUCGAGCGGAUGAAGGGAGCUUGCUCCUGGAUUCAGCGGCGGACGGGUGAGUAAUGCCUAGGAAUCUGCCUGGUAGCGGGGGAUAACGUCCGGAAACGGGCGCUAAUACCGCAUACGUCCUGAGGGAGAAAGUGGGGGAUCUUCGGACCUCACGCUAUCAGAUGAGCCUAGGUCGUAUUAGCUAGUUGGUGGGGUAAAGGCCUACCAAGGCGACGAUCCGUAACUGGUCUGAGAGGAUGAUCAGUCACACUGGAACUGAGACACGGUCCAGACUCCUACGGGAGGCAGCAGUGGGGAAUAUUGGACAAUGGGCGAAAGCCUGAUCCAGCCAUGCCGCGUGUGUGAAGAAGGUCUUCGGAUUGUAAAGCACUUUAAGUUGGGAGGAAGGGCAGUAAGUUAAUACCUUGCUGUUUUGACGUUACCAACAGAAUAAGCACCGGCUAACUUCGUG
rnacentral:rRNA from 1 species